rnacentral:lncRNA from 1 species
CCAAACAUUCAACUCUACACAAUUUCCCUUUCUUUAAUCCCUAUUAUUUUUAUUUAUUUUUACAUCCACACAACCAUGAGCAUUUUCUUUGAUAUUUUUUUUUCUUUACUUUUUUCUUUGCUCUAAGGCUUCAAGGGUAUUUUCUUUUUCUUGUUUCUUUUCAAAUUUUCACCCUUUCAUAAAAACUCACUUUUUCAAGUUUUUAAUCACUUCUCAUUUUACUCUCCCCAACUUUAGAUUCCA